CUGUUUAUUUUUAGGCUUUUUAGCUCCUUUAUGUAAACAAAAACAAAACUUGUAUGGAUCUUUCUCUUCUUCGACACAAACUUCCAUAAAAUACGGUGCAGAGAGGGGCCGCUCACGCUUAGGCUGUAUUCACUUGGUUGAUAAGAAUGAAUCAACGUUGAGUUUUGCCCUUGGUUUUGGAUCAAAUAACAAGCUGUGAGCUUACGGGUUUGGUUGAGGGGUGUUCAAAGUUCAGCUUCAAACAUCCUCUGCUUGCUUCGUCGUCUGCUUUCUCAUGACUGCAUGUUCUUGUGAGAUGUGCGGCAUCUUCAGUCUAAAUGCGCCCCCAAGUGCUACCAAAAAAUGCUGCCACCGCUCUUGCUUUGAUUCAGGUUAGUGCAAAAUUUAUGUUUUACAGAAGACAUUAAAUUAAGCCCGACUUUUUAGAUGCUUUGAUUUGAAUAUAAGCAAUCUAUGAGACUUCACUCCUGCUUGUGCUUGAUGGUGCUAAAUCUUAGGCAAAAUAUACGAGUAUUUCACUUGAAGGAAAGUUAGGUCUUUAAUGAGCUUUGGUCAGUUUUUCUUUUUUAAAGUUACUGUGCCAUGCCUUAAUUGGCGGCUGCUAAAAUUUGUUUGAGAAAUGAUGCAUUUUCUAUUUCAUAAUUACUGUCUGUCAAAGCUACAGAUAAUGAAUCCCUCCCCUCUUUUUCCCAUCUUGUGCUUUUGGAAAAGUUUUCACUGUUCAGUAAUAACAAUGUUAUCCAUGGGCCUGAUUGCAUUUGAACGGCCCACUUUCAGUGAACAUUGUUUCAAAAAAGAAUCCAAACAAAUGAAGUCUUGGUGUUAAAAAAAGAAGUUAAUUAAAUCAAAUCUAAGAAAAAAUAAAAUCAUAAAAAAAUUCGGACCGCUUGAUUGAUGGAUAGGAAAUGAUCUUUUUAUCCUCUUUAUUUUACUUUCAUGAUCGGUGUUUAAUAAUAUUUACUUUUUAUCAGUUUCUUCAUCUUUAAGAUUAUUUCUCUUUUUCUUUUUUCUUUUUUAUUCUUUUAAAUAUACUUACCUUGACACUUUAGUGAUGUUCAUUGGGACUUUAGAUGACUUCAAGAUUUAAACUCGUGCUCACGGGUGAGAGACGAGUUUCACUCAUAUGAUCACUUUUAUUGGCAAGCAAGGAUUAUGUUUGUGUUUGCCACGAUAAUAACUUUGAAUUUCUUUUAAAAGAACUGAAAAUCAUUAAUUAAGGGAGAAUGUUUUAUAAUUGAAAAUCUCUUAAUUUCUCUUUUAUAUAUAUCAAUAUUUGCCUCCUCCCCUGAAGGCAUUCCAUGUAAACCAAAACAAUACAAUGUUGAUUUUAGGCCAAAUCAUUCGCGUAGUAGCAAGGUGGAAAGCAGACACAGAGAUUGUGGCAGAGCAAGAAAACACAGAAAAGAAGAAAAGAUUAUUGAGAAUAGAAGGCACACAAGUUGCUUAAUAAUGGAAGAUGAUGAGAGAAAGAGAAUGUUUUAUUAGGAGCCACUGCCAGCAACAAAGAUGGCAGGCAGAAGGGUUGGAGGAACGGGGUCACCAGUCCUAUCCGGUUCGGUUCACCUAAACCAGCCUGGCCCCCCACCUGUACAUUAUGGUCAUUUCCUCCCUCACUCAGUCUCCCUACCCCUGUUUGACGUACAAAGCACCCCAAAAUGGACCCAGUUCUUCAAAAAUGAACAAGGCUUCUUUUGGGGUCCUCCUAAUUACACAUAUUCUUCAUCAAACUUUACAAUAAAAAUGACCCCCUUAGAGUCAUCCGUCACUUUGCUGCCACAAGGAGGGCAGUUUUAAAUUCAAGCGUUUGUUGGACUUGGACACAGCAUGAGAGGCUUUAAUCAUAUUUAAGACCCGGGACCCCCAUCUACAAAGAAAAAGGAAAACAAAAAACAAAAAAACAAAACCCCAAAAAUAAAAAGAAAAAAG